rnacentral:rRNA from 1 species
UACGGAGGGGGCUAGCGUUGUUCGGAAUUACUGGGCGUAAAGCGCACGUAGGCGGCUUUGUAAGUUAGAGGUGAAAGCCCAGGGCUUAACCCUGGAAUUGCCUUUAAGACUGCAUCGCUAGAAUUGUGGAGAGGUGAGUGGAAUUCCGAGUGUAGAGGUGAAAAUUCGUAGAUAUUCGGAAGAACACCAGUGGCGAAGGCGACUCACUGGACACAUAUUGACGCUGAGGUGCGAAAAGCGUGGGGAGCAAACAGG